UCUUACGUACAUGCCUACAACAUUAAUGCACCAUAUCCCAUCAAAAUUCUAUAGUGAAGCAUGCUUGGGCUAGAGUAGUAUUGGAAUGGGUGACGUCCUAGGAAGUCCUAUUGUUUUACAUGAC
rnacentral:rRNA from 1 species